GUAAGGAACUUAUAAUUAAAGAUUAGCACUGUUAAUGGAUUGGCAAGCGUACCAAAUCGUAUCAAGUAAUAAUAAAUGGUAAGUCCAAGUAUCGUUUUCCCAAGAGACUCGAAAGGCCUUAUCGUUCGUGUGAAUUAAGAUCGUAAGACUUGAAAAUAAAAAUUAAUUAGUUGGGUAUGAGAACAAAAUAUAAACAUGCAAAAGAGAUUGAUUCAAUUGACGAGAAGAAAACGAUGGAUGAAUGAAGUUAUUGGGGGUUUACAAUUUCAUCUUAUCCGUUCUCUCUUAUUUACUCCUCUUGAUUUAUUUGCUUGAUUAACUAAUUGUUAUGCAACUUUCUUGGCCUACCCUUAACCCGAUCCCUCAGUGAAAAGAGCCUAUUACUAAUUACUGACUUGCUAUCCCUAGCCUCCCCUAGCAAUUAAUAAUGCAUUAUAGAGCAGAAGUGAAAAACAAUUGAUCGUCCUACCCCUAUCCCUAGGUGGUAUUGCUUAAUCAAGGAAUCACUCAUCAGUUCAUGACAUUACUAUACGUCCCCGUAUCAAUAAAGACAAACAACAGUUAUCGAAUGAGUUAAAUGAUAAAAGCAUUAAGCAUAGAUGAGAACCCAACAAUUAAUAAUCAAAACAUAUGGAAACCAUAUAAAUAAACCAGAGUUUCAAUAAAAAUGGAUGAAGAAUGGAAAAGAAAACCCUAGAUAAGAAGAAAUGGAGCCUAAGCAUCCAAGAGAUCCUCUCGAGAGAGUGAAAUUAGGUUUGGCCGCCCCCUUCUGUCAAAAGAAUGCGAUUGAAAUCACACUUGUUCCGCCCGGCGGUUUCCCUCAAGUCGCGCUACCGCCCGACGGUAGGGAUCUACUACCCGACGAUUUGCCUCUAAUCGCAAAUCCUCCUGGCUGCACCGCCUAGUGCCAACUCCUCGCACUGGACCGCCCAACGGUGUAAUCUGCCGCUGGGCGUUACGUCGACUCUUCAUUUCUUCAUUUUUCUUCCCUUUUCUUGAGUCUAAGACCUUCAUCUUCAACUCCAUUCUUCACUUUCUCAAAAAUGCUACAAAACAAUGCAAAACAAGCAUAAUAUCGCUAAAAAUAGCUUUUGACUCUCUACAGACUCAUUUAUUGAGUUUUGCUUGAAUCUAAGCUCAUUCUAAGGAGUAAAGGGAGUAAUUUGGUAUAAAAUGACAUAUGAAAAUAACUGUUUUUCAACCUUCAUCACCACCCCAAACUUAGAACUUUGCUUGUCCUCAAGCAAAUAAAACAAAACAGUAAACAAAACAGACUUGGCUUUAUACUAUUUCAUCCAAUGAUUCAACACUCCUAAAGUACAUGACAAACACUACUCAAUCCCAAAUCUUCAGUGAAAUCAAAUUAAGAUGCAUGCAUGCUUUCAAUCCAGAGAUUGCACAACAGAUGUUACAUUAUGAAUGACCAAUCCACUAAGCAAAAUUGCACUCCUGAAAAUUAACAAUUCAUACCAAGCAAGUGUUUCACUCAAUUACUCAAGUGUUUAGGGUGACACUCCAACUCUCUAUCAUUCACAAGUCACAAGAAAAAAAUUGCCAUUCAUCUCAAACAAUCAACAUCUUUACAUGCAAAUGCCAUCAAAAGGACUUUUCCAAGGCUUGUAAUGAGGUUGGGCUAACAAGAAGAAUUGUUUUUUCUGGAAUGCAAAAUCCUUGAGUUAACAGAGCUAUCAUAAUAUUUAACAUUUAAGCACAACUCUCUUUCUCACCAAACUCUCUCAUUCCCAACUUUUUCCCUUUUCCUUUUCAUUGAGCUCAUCUUCAUGCUUUUUCUUUUUUUUUUCUUUUUCACAUGCAUUUUUCUAAUUCAACAAUUGAGCUCAAUGCUUCUUAAAAGCUUUCCAAUUUCCUCCAUGCAACCCCAAACUUGAACCUUCUCAUCACAUACAGUUAAGCUCAUCCC
rnacentral:lncRNA from 1 species